CUCUCUGUCUUUAAGGAUAUUCUCUCAAGUGUUACGUCUGCACAUCUGAUUUAAAUGGUUACUGUGACGCAAAAGAGGAAACAUGUCCAGCUGGAUCUUCUAAAUGUUCAAGCAUUACAGGGGAAAUAUCAUAUGGUUCCACUAAGGUGUCCUUCACAACUAAAGGGUGUGUAUCUGAGUGUGUACCAGGGUCCACACAGCUGCCAGGUGGAGGGACAGGGUCUGUCCACUGCUGUGACACUGACCUCUGCAAUGCAGCAGAUGGAGUGUAUAAGGGAAGCUUCCUCCUGCUCUUCUCUCCUCUGCUCUUCUACUUCCUGUUUCAGUGAGUCCAGAUUCUGCACUUCAGAUUCUACAGCGAAGACCAGCGAAUAUGAGACACAUUCUGAUGCAUUACUGUACUUUACUGAAUAAAGCUUGUUUGUUGCUCUACUA